rnacentral:rRNA from 1 species
GACGAACGCUGGCGGCGUGCUUAACACAUGCAAGUCGAACGGUGGAGCGCCUUUCUUUUUGGGGUGCGUGGGUGAGUGGCGAACGGGUGCGUAACACGUGAGUAACCUGCCCCCUUCUUCUGCAUAACCGCAUGAAAGUGUGGCUAAAACGGGAUAUUCUGGGUCUGUCGCAUGAUGGGUCUGGGCACGAUCUUGUUUCGGUGGGGGAUGGGCGCGCGGCGGAUCAGCUUGUUGCUGGGGGGAUGGCCUACCAAGGCGGGUAUGGGUAGCCGGUGGGCGAGGAUGAUCAGUCACACUGGAAGUGAGACACGGUACAGACGCCUACGGGAGGCAGCAGUGGGGAAUAUUGGACAAUGGGCGGAAGCCUGAUCCAGCCAUGCCGCGUGUGGGAAGAAGGUCUUCGGAGUGUAAAGAACUUCAAGUUGGGAGGAAGGGCAGUAAGUUAAUACGUUGCUGGGUUGACGUUACCAACAGAAGAAGCACCGGCUAACUACGUG